rnacentral:rRNA from 1 species
GACGAACGCUGGCGGCGUGCUUAACACAUGCAAGUCGAACGGAAAGACCCUGCGUUUGUGUGGUUCUCGAGUGGCGAACGGGUGAGUAACACGUGAGUAACCUGCCCUUGACUUUGUGAUAACUUCAGGAAACUGGGGCUAAUACCGGAGAUGAGCUCCUGCUGCAUGGUGUGGGUUGGAAAGUUUCGGCGUUUGGGGAUGGACUCGCGGCUUAUCAGCUGGUUGGUGGGGUAGUGGCUUACCAAGGCUUUGACGGGUAGCCGGCCUGAGAGGGUGACCGGCCACAUUGGGACUGAGAUACGGCCCAGACUCCUACGGGAGGCAGCAGUGGGGAAUAUUGCACAAUGGGCGGAAGCCUGAUGCAGCAACGCCGCGUGCGGGAUGACGGCCUUCGGGUUGUAAACCGCUUUCGCCUGUGACGAAGCGUGAGUGACGGUAAUGGGUAAAGAAGCACCGGCUAACUACGUG